AGAGCUUGCAAGAUCAGUAACUUGAAACUAGGGGGCUGUACGAGGAGUUGAUAGCCCAAAUGAAAGACUUGCGCAAAUGAUAGACAGCAAAAAGUCUAGCUUCAUAUUUUGAUCGUGAGAAGACUGAUGCUCGUGCUGCAAGAGAUGCUCAAAAUCUGACCAUAGCUGUGUAGUCUAUGCUUUAGUGGCAAAAUCUAGUAUUUUAUCUUUUGGGAAGGAUAUGUAUUGGCCAUUAGAACUUACAACUGAUUAUGUGGGAUUACUAUAUUCCCAACAUUUGUGGUUCACUUCUGUUUUGACUAAUUUGGAGAUGUGUUAUGGCCAAAUAUAUGAAUUUGUGGCAUAUAUUCUACGUUGGUUUUGCCUUUUGUCAAA